UACAGAGGUCUCAAGCGUUGUUCGGAUUCAUUGGGCGUAAAGGGUGUGUAGGUGGCGCCGUAAGUCGGGUGUGAAAUCUCGGAGCUUAACUCCGAAACUGCAUUCGAUACUGCCGUGCUUGAGGACUGGAGAGGAGACUGGAAUUUACGGUGUAGCGGUGAAAUGCGUAGAUAUCGUAAGGAAGACCAGUGGCGAAGGCGGGUCUCUGGACAGUUCCUGACGCUGAGGCACGAAGGCCAGGGGAGCAAACGGG
rnacentral:rRNA from 1 species